GGUAAGACGAGGGAUCCUAGCGUUGUUCGGAAUUAUUGGCCGUAAAGCGGGUGUAGGCGGACUUAUAAGUCAGGUGUGAAAUCCCAGGGCUCAACCCUGGAAGUGCACUUGAUACUGUAAGCCUUGAGUGUGGUAGAGGCUAUUAGAAUUCCUGGUGUAGUGGUGAAAUACGUAGAUAUCAGGAGGAAUACCGGAGGCGAAGGCGGAUAGCUGGGCCAACACUGACGCUGAGACCCGAAAGCGU
rnacentral:rRNA from 1 species